UACGUAGGGGGCAAGCGUUGUCCGGAAUCAUUGGGCGUAAAGCGCGUGUAGGCGGCCCGGUAAGUCCGCUGUGAAAGUCCAGGGCUCAACCCUGGGGAUGCCGGUGGAUACUGUCGGGCUAGAGUCCGGAAGAGGCGAGUGGAAUUCCUGGUGUAGCGGUGAAAUGCGCAGAUAUCAGGAGGAACACCAAUGGCGAAGGCAGCUCGCUGGGACGGUACUGACGCUGAGGCGCGAAAGCGUGGGGAGCAAACAGG
rnacentral:rRNA from 1 species